CCUACGGGUGGCAGCAGUGAGGAAUAUUGGUCAAUGGGCGCGAGCCUGAACCAGCCAAGUCGCGUGAGGGAUGACGGUCCUACGGAUUGUAAACCUCUUUUGCCGGGGAGCAAGCGUGCGUUCGUGAACGCGCGUCGAGAGUACCCGGAGAAAAAGCAUCGGCUAACUCCGUGCCAGCAGCCGCGGUAAUACGGAGGAUGCGAGCGUUAUCCGGAUUUAUUGGGUUUAAAGGGUGCGUAGGCGGGAUGCCAAGUCAGCGGUAAAAAUGCGGUGCUCAACGCCGUCGAGCCGUUGAAACUGGCGUUCUUGAGUGGGCGAGAAGUAUGCGGAAUGCGUGGUGUAGCGGUGGAAUGCGUAGAUAUUAGGAGGAACAUCAGGGGCGAAGGCGACUUACUGGACUGUAACUGACACUGAGGCACGAAAGCGUGGGUAUCGAACAGGAUUAGAUACCCGGGUAGUC
rnacentral:rRNA from 1 species